GACGAACGCUGGCGGCGUGCCUAAUACAUGCAAGUCGUACGCUGAAGCUUGGUGCUUGCACCGAGCGGAUGAGUUGCGAACGGGUGAGUAACGCGUAGGUAACCUGCCUGGUAGCGGGGGAUAACUAUUGGAAACGAUAGCUAAUACCGCAUAAGAGUAGAUGUUGCAUGACAUUUGCUUAAAAGGUGCAAUUGCAUCACUACCAGAUGGACCUGCGUUGUAUUAGCUAGUUGGUGAGGUAACGGCUCACCAAGGCGACGAUACAUAGCCGAGCUGAGAGGGGGAGCGGCCACACUGGGACUGUGACACAGCCCAGACUCCUACGGGGGGCAGCAGUAGGGGAACUUCGGGAAAGGGCGGAAGACUGACCGAGAAACGCCGCGUGAGUGAAAAAGGGUUUCGGGUCGUGAAACGCUGUUUUAAGGGAAGAAAGAGGGUGAGGGUGGAAAGUUCACACUGUGACGGUAACUGAACAGAAAGGGACGGCUAACUACGUG
rnacentral:rRNA from 1 species